rnacentral:rRNA from 1 species
GAUGAACGCUGGCGGCGUGCCUAAUACAUGCAAGUCGAGCGAACGGACGAGAAGCUUGCUUCUCUGAUGUUAGCGGCGGACGGGUGAGUAACACGUGGAUAACCUACCUAUAAGACUGGGAUAACUUCGGGAAACCGGAGCUAAUACCGGAUAAUAUUUUGAACCGCAUGGUUCAAAAGUGAAAGACGGUCUUUCUGUCACUUAUAGAUGGAUCCGCGCUGCAUUAGCUAGUUGGUAAGGUAACGGCUUACCAAGGCAACGAUGCAUAGCCGACCUGAGAGGGUGAUCAGCCACACUGGAACUGAGACACGGUCCAGACUCCUACGGAAGGCAGCAGUAGGGAAUCUUCCGCAAUGGGCGAAAGCCUGACGGAACAACGCCGCGUGAGUGAUGAAGGUCUUCGGAUCGUAAAACUCUGUUAUUAGGGAAGAACAUAUGUGUAAGUAACUGUGCACAUCUUGACGGUACCUAAUCAGAAAGCCACGGCUAACUACGUG